GAAGCCCUGAUCAUGGCUCAGAUUGAACGCUGGCGGGAUGCUUUACACAUGCAAGUCGAACGGCAGCACGGACUUCGGUCUGUAGUGCGAGUGGCGAACGGGUGAGUAAUGUAUCGGAACGUGCCUAGUAGCGGGGGAUAACCACGCGAAAGCGUAGCUAAUACCGCAUACGCCUUCGGGGAAAGUGGGGGACCUUCGGGCCUCCCACUAUUAGAGCGGCCGAUAUCGGAUUAGCUAGUUGGUGGGGUAACGGCUCACCAAGGCGACGAUCCGUAGCUGCUGGUUUGAGAGGACGACCAGCCACACUGACUGAGACACGGCCCAGACUCCUACGGGAGGCAGCAGUGGGGAAUUUUGGACAAUGGGGGAAAUCCUGAUCCAGCCAUCCCGCGUGUGCGAUGAAGGCCUUCGGGUUGUAAAGCACUUUUGGCAGGAAAGAAACGGCACGGGAUAAUACCCUGCAACUGACGGUACCUGCAGAAUAAGCACUGGCUAACUACGUGCCAGCAGCCGCGGUAAUACGUAGGGUGCAAGCGUUAAUCGGAAUUACUGGGCGUAAAGCGUGCGCAGGCGGUUCGGAAAGAAAGAUGUGAAAUCCCAGAGCUUAACUUUGAACUGCAUUUUUAACUACCGAGCUAGGAGCGGUGUCGAGGGAGGUGGAAUUCCGCGUGUAGCAGUGAAAUGCGUAGAUAUGCGGAGGAACACCGAUGAUGGCGAAGGCAGCCUCCUGGGAUAACACUGACGCUCAUGCACGAAAGCGUGGGAGCAAACAGGAUUAGAUACCCUGGUAGUCCACGCCCUAAACGAUGUCAACUAGCUGUUGGGGCCUUCGGGCCUGUAGCGCAGCUAACGCGUGAAGUUGACCGCUCCGGGGAGUACGGUCGCAAGAUUAAAACUCAAAGGAAUUGACGGGGACCCGCACAAGCGGUGGAUGAUAAGAUUAAUUCGAUGCAACGCGAAAAACCUUACCUACCCUUGACAUGUCUGGAAUCCUGAAGUGAGAUUUGGGAGUGCUCGCAAGAGAACCGGAACACAGGUGCUGGGCGGCUGUCGUCAGCUCGUGUCGUGAGAUGUUGGGUUAAGUCCCGCAACGAGCGCAACCCUUGCCGCCAGUUGCUACGAAAGGGCACUCUAAUGAGACUGCCGGUGACAAACCGGAGGAAGGUAGGGGAUGACGUCAAGUCCUCAUGGCCCUUGCGGGUAGGGCUUUCACACGUCAUACAAUGGUCGGGACAGAGGGUCGCUAAACGCGCGAGGGGGAGCCAAUCCCAGAAACCUCGAUCGUAGUCCGGAUUGCAGUCUGCAACUCGACUGCGUGAAGUCGGAAUCGCUAGUAAUCGCGGAUCAGCAUGUCGCGGUGAAUACGUUCCCGGGUCUUGCACACACCGCCCGUCACACCAUGGGAGUGGGUUUUACCAGAAGUAGUUAGCCUUCCAAUCCGUAAGGAGGGCGAUUACCACGGUAGGAUUCAUGACUGGGGUGUAGUCGUAACAAGGUAA
rnacentral:rRNA from 1 species